rnacentral:rRNA from 1 species
AUUGAACGCUGGCGGCAGGCUUAACACAUGCAAGUCGAGCGAGCGGCGGACGGGUGAGUAAUGUCUGGGAAACUGCCUGAUGGAGGGGGAUAACUACUGGAAACGGUAGCUAAUACCGCAUACCAUCAGAUGUGCCCAUAUGGGAUUAGCUAGUAGGUGGGGUAAUGGCUCACCUAGGCGACGAUCCCUAGCUGGUCUGAGAGGAUGACCAGCCACACAGCGACUGAGACACGGUCCAGAAUCCUACGGUAGGCAGCAGGGGGGAAUAGUGCACAAGGGGAGCAAGCCUGACGCAGCCAUGCCGAGUGUGGGAAGCAGGCAUUUGGGGUGUAAAGCACUUUCAGCGAGGAGGCGUUACUCGCAGAAGAAGCACCGGCUAACUCCGUGCCAGCAGCCGCGGUAAUUC